GACGAACGCUGGCGGCGUGCCUAAUACAUGCAAGUAGAACGCUGAAGGAGGAGCUUGCUUCUCUGGAUGAGUUGCGAACGGGUGAGUAACGCGUAGGUAACCUGCCUGGUAGCGGGGGAUAACUAUUGGAAACGAUAGCUAAUACCGCAUAAUAGUAGAUGUUGCAUGACAUUUGCCUAAAAGGUGCAAUUGCAUCACUACCAGAUGGACCUGCGUUGUAUUAGCUAGUUGGUGGGGUAACGGCUCACCAAGGCGACGAUACAUAGCCGACCUGAGAGGGGGAUCGGCCAAACUGGGACGGAGACACGGCCCAGACUCCUACGGGAGGCAGCAGUAGGGAAUCUUCGGCAAUGGACGGAAGUCUGACCGAGCAACGCCGCGUGAGUGAAGAAGGUUGUCGGAUCGUAAAGCUCUGUUGUAAGAGAAGAACGAGUGUGAGAGUGGAAAGUUCACACUGUGACGGUAUCUGACCAGAAAGGGACGGCUAACUACGUG
rnacentral:rRNA from 1 species